rnacentral:tRNA from 1 species
GGGGAUGUAGCUCAGUAGUAGAGUGCUUGCCUAACAUGCAGGAGGCCCUGGUUUCCAUCCCCA